AUUUAAGUACAUGUCAAGCUAGACCAUUAGUUGCACAAAUAUUCGAGUACACGUCAAACUAGACCCUUCCCGGGCACACAUAUUUGUCAAUCUGGCGCACCCACGAGAGACAUACAUACAUAUGAAGUGAUACAUAAGAUGACAUGAUCAUUUCUAGUGCAUGGCCGGUAAGAAUGAGUGUGAAGGACUUAAGGAUCACACUGAACAAUCAUUGCUUUAAAAAAUUGUAUCAGCUUUGCUAUCCUGAUGGUAUAUGACAGAAAGUUCUUCUCUUGCCUCCAGUUAUACUGUUUCUUGCCCUUGGAACUUCAUAUGCCUGGGAAAGAUCACACAAAACAAAUACUGUUUUUAUUUGCUUAGAACCAGGUGAGACAGCAACAACUAAGAUUCUCUAGAAGCUGUAAAUAAUUCUUCAAAAUGACCCAAGAGCAAUGGCAGGGGCAGAGCUUAGUACUAGUCAAUGAGCUCUAAACUACUCAUCAUACCCAGAGCAUAACAUGUGUUCUACACCAAAAUCCAGAUGUCUGACUUCUCAAUCUCCUGAAACAAAACAAAUUCAAAAUUCAGAAGUCAUCUCCAAUUGCAUGGUUGCAAAUUAGAAGGCUACAGGCUGCACCACGCAUGCCGGUGCAGCUCAGGUAGCUAGCUAGCUAGCUCUCUCUGCUCUGCAUAUGUACUUCUACUGUUUCUGUAAUGUUGUUAAACCCUUGUUGGCUAACUGUUAGUCACAAAUACACAUAUAUCUAUUAUUUGAUGUCUCCAAUCGAGGUGUCUCCCACCAGCUAGCUACUGGAGUGUGAAACAAUUGACCGACGUCAGUUCAUCAAAAGCCUUGAGUUUUGUUAGUUAAAUCUGCAAUAUGCAUACCCCCAUGCCAGCAAGCACACUAGCUCGGAACAACAACAAAUUCUUAACCAGCUAGCUAACCAAACAUGGUGCAGGUUAAUUAGAUGGACGAACAUUAUUGCCUCGGCUUGAUUUUGCCGGAUAUGCAUAUGUUGCCCAACCAUUGACGAGUUUCCGCACAACAUGUCACUUGUGCUCCAUAAUCAAGGGAAAUUAUAUUCACUUUUCAAUCACCGCUUGAAAGCAAUUCAACUAGAAGCCAGCUAAAUUUAGCUAAUAAUUUGACCGAUGUACGCGUAAGAUCCGCAAUUGAAGGAAUGCAAAAUUGAUAACUGUGUGCACUCUAGGCAUACUUCCCCUAGCUAGAUCCAUAGUCAAUUCAGGCAAAGACAUGUGCACUGCCUCCGAAAUAUUCAUGCUUUGAUUCAAUACUCAAUCUGAUCCAAAAUAAACCACGACACUUAUUUUUAGAUCGGAGGGAGCAACUAGUAUAGAAUCUGCACUUGUGGUGCAAAAAUAGAAAAAUGCAUUCUGGGCCGUGGAUUGAAGAUGAAUGGCACAGAGGUACCUCCUGCCACUUAAUGUGUAUUUUUACAAAAACCACCCGCUAGUAGUCAGAUAUAAAACAUGACUUUCAUUGUAAACACCUUACCUUUCUCAUAUUCGUUCAUUUUGUCCUUGGUACAUAAGACUAACUUUCAAAACGUCACAGUUGAUGCUUCAGCUUUAUACUUGUCUAAUGGAUGGUUUCAUGUAUAUAUAAGUACAGUACUGGCUUCUACUAUAUGUGUAUCAAUCGUGCAAGAAAACUAAACAAGUUGGUUACCAAAGUGUGUCAAUAUGUAUCACAAAUAUAAGUGAAGAUGAGAAAAUUAAGUCAAGCUAGACCAUUUCAGGCACAUGUUAGACUGGACAAUUCCAGGCACAAAUAUUGGAAUUAUUUAAGUACAUGUCAAGCUAGACCAUCAGUUGCACAAAUAUUCGAGUACACGUCAAACUAGACCCUUCUCGGGCACACAUAUUUGUCAAUCUGGCGCACCCACGAGAGACAUACAUACAUAUGAAGUGAUACAUAAGAUGACAUGAUCAUUUCUAGUGCAUGGCCGGUAAGAAUGAGUGUGAAGGACUUAAGGAUCACACUGAACAAUCAUUGCUUUAAAAAAUUGUAUCAGCUUUGCUAUCCUGAUGGUAUAUGACAGAAAGUUCUUCUCUUGCCUCCAGUUAUACUGUUUCUUGCCCUUGGAACUUCAUAUGCCUGGGAAAGAUCACACAAAACAAAUACUGUUUUUAUUUGCUUAGAACCAGGUGAGACAGCAACAACUAAGAUUCUCUAGAAGCUGUAAAUAAUUCUUCAAAAUGACCCAAGAGCAACGGCAGGGGCAGAGCUUAGUACUAGUCAAUGAGCUCUAAACUACUCAUCAUACCCAGAGCAUAACAUGUGUUCUACACCAAAAUCCAGAUG
rnacentral:lncRNA from 1 species